CCUUUACUUCAUUUACAGCAUUGAAUACUCCUGAUCUCAACUGAUCUCAGAAACUAAGCAGAGUUGGGCCUGCUUAGGACUUGGAUAGGCAAAGAGCUGGGAAUACUGGGUACUCCAGGC
rnacentral:rRNA from 1 species